UCUAGAUGUGCGAGGUGACUC
rnacentral:siRNA from 1 species